AGUGAACGCUGGCGGUAGGCCUAACACAUGCAAGUCGAACGGCAGCACAGUAAGAGCUUGCUCUUACGGGUGGCGAGUGGCGGACGGGUGAGGAAUACAUCGGAAUCUACUUUUUCGUGGGGGAUAACGUAGGGAAACUUACGCUAAUACCGCAUACGACCUACGGGUGAAAGCAGGGGAUCUUCGGACCUUGCGCGAUUGAAUGAGCCGAUGUCGGAUUAGCUAGUUGGCGGGGUAAAGGCCCACCAAGGCGACGAUCCGUAGCUGGUCUGAGAGGAUGAUCAGCCACACUGGAACUGAGACACGGUCCAGACUCCUACGGGAGGCAGCAGUGGGGAAUAUUGGACAAUGGGCGCAAGCCUGAUCCAGCCAUACCGCGUGGGUGAAGAAGGCCUGCGGGUUGUGAAGCCCUUUUGUUGGGAAAGAAAAGCAGCAGGUUAAUACCCCGCUGUUCUGACGGUACCCAAAGAAUAAGCACCGGCGAACUGCGU
rnacentral:rRNA from 1 species